CCGGGUAGUCCCAGCAGUAAACGAUGCCAGCUAUUGUGUUGCUGGAACCAUGGGUUCCAGCAGUGCCGAAUGGAAGCCGUGAAAGCUGGCCACCUGGGAAGUACGGUCGCAAGGCUGAAACUUAAAGGAAUUGGCGGGGGAGUACCACAACCGGUGGAGCCUGCGGUUUAAUUGGAUACAACGCCGGGAAUCUUACCGGAGGGGACAGCAGUAUGAAGGCCAGGCCAAAGACCUUGCCAGAUCAGCUGAGAGGAGGUGCAUGGCCGUCGCCAGUUCGUACCGUGAGGCAUCCUGUUUAGUCAGGCAACGAUCGAGACCCGCAGUCUUAUUUGCCAGCAUGCCCUUUGGGGUGUAUGGGCACAAUAAGACGACCGCCAGCGCUAAGCUGGAGGAAGGAGCGGGCUACGGUAGGUCAGCAUGCCCCGAAUCCUCCGGGAUACACGCGGGCUACAAUGGUCAGGACAAAAGUGUACCGACCUCGAAAGAGUGAGGUAAUCCACAAACCUGAUCCCAGUCCGGAUCGAAGGCUGCAACUCGCCUUCGUGAAGAUGGAAUCGGUAGUAAUCGUGACUCAGAAUGUCACGGUGAAUAUGUCCCU
rnacentral:rRNA from 1 species